GUCAAAGGUCUGUUCUCUGGGUUUUAUGUUUGACACAAAAGUUUCUCUCGUUUACAAAUCCCAGUUUCAGUUGGGAAGUGAUGAAGUCCUGAUAACUCGAAAAUUAUCAAGAUUCUUGAGGCACCUGUUGAAGGUUGAAGUUUGUGCGCGCGCGCUUGUGUUGGGCGGGGUCGCUGACUCACAGAAGAGGCACUUUUCUCGCCGCUCCUCUGAACUUCAGCCUCAGUCGCAGCUCCUGUCCGACCUCGGUCCGCCCGGCUCUCCUCUUCUCCUGCGCAGGAGCUCAACUCU